rnacentral:rRNA from 1 species
CACGUAGGGGGCGAGCGUUGUCCGGAUUUAUUGGGCGUAAAGAGCUCGUAGGCGGCUCAGUAAGUCGGGUGUGAAACCUCCAGGCUCAACCUGGAGACGCCACCUGAUACUGCUGUGGCUGGAGUCCGGUAGGGGAGCGUGGAAUUCCUGGUGUAGCGGUGAAAUGCGCAGAUAUCAGGAGGAACACCAGCGGCGAAGGCGACUACCUGGCCUGUUCUUGACGCUGAGGCGCGAAAGCUAGGGGAGCAAACGGG